AAGCUGCUCGCUUCAAUCAAAGAGGUUAGCUUUUUUCUCACAAAAUUUUCUCGAAUAACUUUAUUAAUUCCAGCUGUAUUUCAAUCUUUCUUGAUAUCUUAUAUUAUAAUCUGUUGUGAUUGCAGAGCUUCUUCAGCGUCGUCCUCCCAUAUGUCCUGCUUGUGUGUGUUGCCCUGGACCUGUUCCACCAGGAGGAUGUUGUAGAUGUGGUUGCAAUGGAUCUGGGUCGAUUUCUAGAUCUCCGUGAUCUUGUUGCCAUGCGUGGUUAUGUAAAAGUUUAACUGAUUAUUUCAGUUUAAGUUGUGAAAUGAAGAGUAGCGCCAAUAAAGCUCACCAAAAAAGCGAUAAAGCAUGUUUGUUCUGAUUGUAUUUUGUACUAUUUAUGAGUGAAUAAACGUUCAUGCAUGACUGCAUGAGUGUUGUAUUGAAUCUUAUCGUGGAUAAUGGCAUAUGUUGUUACAAAAGACCGCAUUCUUAUCUUUUAAACAAGUACAUUACAAAGUCUGUGGGUGACAUCGACACUGCCACCUGAUAAGCCAUGCAUCCGUCCUGGCGAAAUAUUCAACAAUAAAAACCAUACAUCAGCUACUGUUACGUUCAAUGGUCUGCACACUGACACUAAUAGUCAAUUAAUCGAUAUAGCGCCACUCCAAUUAAAAACUAAAAUAAUUAAUAUAAGUCUCACUAUCUUCAUCAAAAAUAAAAUAAAAAAAAUGAAAAUAUACUUUGACUGUUUGUGUGAACUAAUCCUGCCUACAAAUCAGAUGAUUAAAAAUAGUACAAUUUGAUCGGACUUUGAAGUCAAGGCAUUUUUUGGACAGCUGAUCAGAGAUCUAAGGGCUCCUACGUUUUGACCUUUAUUAUUGUCAAUGAACAAGAUCAGGGACUUUCAAUAUAAAUGUUGAGCUUGCCAUGCAUCCUCAUCAAACCAAGACAUUCAUAAUUUCAAAUCAUUAUUUGGUGUCAAAAUGGAAGACAAACCUAAUGCCUUUCCUAUUGCUACCUUACUCAUCGUAUGUCUUGUUCUCUCUCCAAGUUUACUUUCUUGUUCCACCGCCCGCCCGGAACCACCUAUUCGAUAUUGUCCCGCUUGUGCAUGCUGUGGACCACCUACAGUAGCUGGAGGUUGCUGCAGCUGCCGUUGUGUUUCCGUAGAAACUACUGAAACAACUCCGCCAUGAGCCCUGCAUCGUCCUUCGCUCCUUCGGUGUGUUAUAUAAAAUAAAUAAAGACUAAAGAUCGACCAUGAUGUAUGUGUGGUAUUAGUACGUGUUUCAUGCUUGCUUCCAGUUUAUAUUAUCAAAUGUAUUGUAUUAACUCGGUGAAUGCUGUGAUUCUGUGAAUGCAUUAUAUAUGUAUAUUGUAUAUUGGAUGUGGCUCUUCAGACUUGUUUUCUGGUGUGCGAGUCUGCGUUUAAGCAUAUGAAAAAGACCAUAAAAAAUAGGAAUAUCACAGCCCAUAAGACAGACAAUCUCAAUGCCCACUAUAAUUGUGAGAGUAAUAGAAGAGGAAUCCACAGCAGUUAAUUAAUUAGAUCAUGCCACUAUAAUUGUUGGAGUAAAAGAAGAGUAAUCCACAGCGCGCAGUUAAUUAGAUCAUGCCAUUAUAAUUGGCUAAUUGCCCAUAAGACAGUCGGUCUCGCAGCUAAGAUGGAUUGUGUGUCAGGGACUUAAAUGCAUACCAUAAGCAGGCAAAAUCCCUCAUUUCUGGAGUUUUUAUUUUAAAAAAUUUCUUGCAGUGCAGUUUGUAGUGCGUGUCCUCUACUUUGUGUAAUUCCUCAAGUUUGUCAAUAAAAUUUCUUCGUUUCAUGAAAAAAAAUGAACAAAUUCCUCAAGUAGCACAAGGCUCAUUCCUGGUCCAACUUUUGCAGAUUAAAGUAUAAGCCGAUAUACAAAACAUGGCUGUUAGAUUGUUGGAUGGUGAUUUUUUUUUUCUUCUUCUGAAUUGAUCUGUUCAUUAACUGUAGAGUCUGAAUUAAAGUCCAUCAACAACAUAAUUCAAAAAUCAUCUUUGUUGACUGAAUGAGAUUUGAGAGAUCGGAAUGAACAAGAAGAAAUGGAUCGAGAACAUUGUCUUCUUCUUCUUCAUGUUGUAAAAAUUGCAAUUUUAAUUUCUUCUUAUUCGAUGGUUUUCAUAUGUUUAAUUUAUUUUCAUACUUGUGUCCAAAGAUCAUUUUCUGAAUUAAAAUCCAUCAACAACAUAAUUCAAAAGUCAUCUUUGUUGACUGAAGAAUGAAUUGAAGAUGAUGAUAAUUGAUACAUUGUCAAAAGUCAUCUAUGCUUCAAUGCUUGCCCUUUUUAGUGGUUGCUGGAGAUCCAAUAAUGUGGCUUGGUAGAUUCAGGUCAGGGCCUCAGGGGAUCUAUAUGCGCGUAUUAUCCAAUUCUGAAAGUCUAUAAAUAUACUUGUUUUGCUACUUCUUUAAGCAUAUAUACUUGAAAUCUAUUCAUCUUACAGAAAUGGAGAGCAAAUCUAUUCCGUUUACAUUUCUCAUCUUGUGCCUAGUAGUUCUCUCUCCAACAUUGCCAUCUGAAGCUGCUCGCUUCAAUCAAAGAGGUAAAUUUUUUGUUAUAAUAUUUCCUCUAACUUCUUUCCUGCUGUAUUUCAAUCUUUCUUGAUAUCUCAUAUAUAUUAUCAUCUGUUGUGAUUGUAGAGCUUCUUCAGCAUAUAUAUCCUCGCAUCAUAUGCGCUACUUGCGUGUGUUCCCCUGGAUAUGUUCCACCAGGAAAAUGUUGUAAAUGUUUGGUUACUCCAAUUGGGCCAGUUUCAUCUCCAUGAUCAUUUCUUGUGUUGCCAUGCAUGGUUGUGUAAGACUGAGAGAUUAAACUGAUUAUUUCAGUUUGACGUAAUAAAAUAAAUAAGGGUAGUAAAGCACGUUUGCUUUAAAUGUAUUUCACUAUUUGUAUGUACUAUUUAUAUGAAAUGAAUAAAGCUCGAGGAUGAAUUUUGUAUUGAAU
rnacentral:lncRNA from 1 species